AUUGAACGCUGGCGGCAGGCCUAACACAUGCAAGUCGAGCGGCAGCGGGAAAGUAGCUUGCUACUUUUGCCGGCGAGCGGCGGACGGGUGAGUAAUGCCUGGGGAUCUGCCCAGUCGAGGGGGAUAACUACUGGAAACGGUAGCUAAUACCGCAUGCGCCCUACGGGGGAAAGCAGGGGACCUUCGGGCCUUGCGCGAUUGGAUGAACCCAGGUGGGAUUAGCUAGUUGGUGAGGUAAUGGCUCACCAAGGCGACGAUCCCUAGCUGGUCUGAGAGGAUGAUCAGCCACACUGGAACUGAGACACGGUCCAGACUCCUACGGGAGGCAGCAGUGGGGAAUAUUGCACAAUGGGGGAAACCCUGAUGCAGCCAUGCUGCGUGUGUGAAGAAGGCCUUCGGGUUGUAAAGCACUUUCAGCGAGGAGGAAAGGUUGGUAGCUAAUAACUGCCAGCUGUGACGUUACUCGCAGAAGAAGCACCGGCUAACUCCGUGCCAGCAGCCGCAGUAACAC
rnacentral:rRNA from 1 species